rnacentral:rRNA from 1 species
UACGGGGGGGGCAAGCGUUGUUCGGAAUUACUGGGCGUAAAGGGCUCGUAGGCGGCCCACUAAGUCAGACGUGAAAUCCCCGGGCUCAACCCGGGAACUGCGUCCGAUACUGGAAGGCUUGAAUCCGGGAGAGGGAUGUGGAAUUCCAGGUGUAGCGGUGAAAUGCGUAGAUAUCUGGAGGAACACCGGUGGCGAAGGCGACAUCCUGGACCGGUAUUGACGCUGAGGCGCGAAAGCCAGGGGAGCAAACGGG